rnacentral:lncRNA from 1 species
UGUUUUUUGAACAGAGUCUUGCUCACCAUACUGGCCUCCAACUUGCUAUGUCACCAAGGCUAGCCAUGAACUCAUGAUUUUCUUGCUUCCUCCUCCAAAGUGCUGGGGCUACAGUAUCUGCCACUUGGCUCAGCCAAAGUAAUUAUUUUUAAUUAUAAAGGACUCAAACUGGAACCCUGGGGCAGAAUCAUUCUUGAAAUGUCUCUGUCUUUAAAAACACCCUGCGCAAAAACCACGCCUGCUCCUGACCCAGCAGCCAUUGCUCAAGUGCCGGGAAGGUAGGCCAGCCAGAUCCACCAUGGGAAGGAGAACCACGCCUGCUCCCGACCCAGCAGUCAUCGCUCAAGCACCACGAAGGUAGCUGCGUGGGUGCCCCUGAACCCCCAUAGUCCCCCCCCCACACUCUCAGACCU